rnacentral:lncRNA from 1 species
CUGACCUUGUGAUCCGCCCACCUUGGCAUCCCAAAGUGCUGGGAUUAUAAGCAUAAGCCACUGUGCCCAGCCAGAACGUGUACCCCUUCUAAGACCACUCACAUCAGCAGCUCUACCAAUCUCCGGCAGACUCCGGAGUCUAUGACUGCCUGGAUCUUCUCAUUGGGGCCAUCGGACAGAUAAGAAAGGGCCCAGCAAGCAUCUGCCAGCAAGUCCGAGUCGCUGCUGAAGAGUAGGCGAGACAGUACAGGCAAACAAGGAGAGACCUGUGGGAAGCAGAGUGAGAAAGACUCAUAGGGGGACAAGACUAUAUCAGCUCUAUCACAAACCCUAACAUUGCAACCACCGCCCCCACAAUACACACACACAAGUAAUUCCAGACCCUAGGGAUCGCUACUACAUUAAACAUUUAGGUCUACCUUUUCACUUUACUAUCCAGGUACACAAGAUCAUCUACUUCACUAACAAUUGCUUCUUUCAGUUUCCCAUGAUUUGAGACUCCAAGGAGUAGCCCAAAGACUUAAAAACUCCAUAUGAAGGAACCUGAUGUCACUCAGGGUCUAGUAAGUAGCUCUCUCACCUUUGCAAACUCUGGGGGUGGGUUCUUCCCUCGGCAGAGAUUUGACAGGGCCCAGACCGCAUUCCGUGUCAUCGUCAGUCGUGUGGACUUGGUAAGGAGUCUGAAGGAAACAGCAAAGCCAGAUCCUGAGCACUGAGGCCUUGGCAUAGGACUGUUGCCAAUGAAAGCAAAUCAAUGCAUUUUGUAGAGAAGGUUGGAUUUUUCCAGGUGGGCUAGUCCUGCCUCUCUCCCCUGGCUCACCAAUGAGGAGGAUAUGAGGAUAUGACUAACAUGAGGUUCUGCAGUGCCAUGAAGUGAGGAACAAGAUCCUUCUUGGCAGAUGGGUGGCACAAUCUUUUUUUUUUUUUUUCACUCUUUUGCCCAGGCUGAAGUGCAGUGGUGUGAUCCGUAAUCUCGGCAAACAGAGCUAUCUCCAGCUAUGUUUCCCAGUGCCCAGACUGCCUGAAAAGGGGAUAAUGAAACUGUCACCCACAAAGCUUGGUACUUCUGUGAGUACUUUAUAGCCACAACUGCAAAGUGUCUGUACAAAAAAAAAAAAAAAAUCCACAAAAAUUAGCCGGGCGUGGUGGUACAUGCCUGUAGUCCAGCUACUCAGGAGGCUGAGGAAGAAGGAUCACUUGAGCCCGGGAGCUUGAGGCUGCAGUGAGCUGAGAUCAUGUCACUCACUGCACAUUAUAGUCUCAGGCUGGGCGUGGUGGCUUACGCCUGUAAUCCCAGCACCAUGGGAGGCUGAGGCGGGCAGAUCUGGGCAGAUCACAAGGUCAGGAGUUCGAGACCAGGCUGGCCAACAUGGUGAAACCCAGUCUCUACCAAAAAUAUACAAAGUUAAUUGGACGUGGUGGUGCAUGCCCGUAAUCCUAGCUACUCGGGAGGCUAAGGCAGGAGAAUUGCUUGAACCCAGGAGGCAGAGGUUGCAGUGAGCAGAGAUCGUGCCAUUGCACUCCAGCCUGGGUGACAGAAUCAGACUCCGUCUCAAAAAAAAAGAAAAGAAAAGAAAAGGUAACAAGGAACUAGAACUAGAAUGUUACAGUAAAGACAUAAAUGAUGUCUAAGUUGGUCUAACUUGUGAAAAGGGGAUAAGGUUUUUGAGAUGGAGUUUCACUCUUGUUGCCCAGGCUGGAGUGCAGUGGCACGAUAUCGACUCACUGCAACCUCUGCCUCCUGGGCUCAAGUGAUUCUCCUGCCUCAGCCUUCCGAGUAGCUGGGAUUACAGGCGCACACCACCACAACU